ensembl:snRNA U2 U2 spliceosomal RNA
AUAAAAUUUUUUCGAAAGAAAAAUCUGUUCUCAUCAGUUUAAUAUCUGAUACGUCCCCUAUCCGGGGACCAUAUAUUAAAUAGAUUUUUGGAGCAGGGAGAUCAAAUAGGGGCUUGCUCCGUCCACUCCACGCAUCGACCCGGUAUUGCAGUACUUCCGGGAACGGUGCACCCCUC